rnacentral:rRNA from 11 species
GCUAAGUGGGAAAGGAUGUGGGAAGGCCAAGACAGCCAGGAGGUUGGCUUAGAAGCAGCCAUCCUUGAAAGAGUGCGUAAUAGCUCACUGGUCGAGUGGUUCUGCGCCGACAAUUCAGUGGGGCUCAAGCACACCGCCGAAGCCGCGGCAAACAAUGUUGUUGUUUGGGUAGGGGAGCGUCGUGUGUGGGGUGAAGCCGUAUCGGAAGGAGCGGUGGACUGCAUGCGAGUGAGAAUGCAGGCAUGAGUAACGAAUUGAUAGGUGAGAAUCCUAUCCGCCGGAUGACUAAGGGUUCCUGGGUCAAGUUCGUCUUCCCAGGGUGAGUCGGGACCUAAGGCGAGGCCGACAGGCGUAGUCGAUGGAUGACGGGUUGAUAUUCCCGUACCGGCGAAGUUGCG